UACGGAGGGUGCAAGCGUUAUCCGGAUUCACUGGGUUUAAAGGGUGCGUAGGUGGGCUAGUAAGUCCGUGGUGAAAUCUCCAAGCUUAACUUGGAAACUGCCGUGGAUACUAUUAGUCUUGAAUCUCGUGGAGGUAAGCGGAAUAUGUCAUGUAGCGGUGAAAUGCUUAGAUAUGACAUAGAACACCGAUAGCGAAGGCAGCUUGCUACACGAGUAUUGACACUGAGGCACGAAAGCGUGGGGAUCAAACAGG
rnacentral:rRNA from 1 species